AUUGAACGCUGGCGGAAUGCUUUACACAUGCAAGUCGAGCGGCAGCACGGGGGCAACCCUGGUGGCGAGCGGCGAACGGGUGAGUAAUACAUCGGAACAUGCCCAGUCGUGGGGGAUAACACUUCGAAAGAAGUGCUAAUACCGCAUACGUCCCGAGGGAGAGAGCGGGGGAUCUUCGGACCUCGCGGGAUUGGAGUGGCCGAUGUCAGAUUAGAUAGUUGGUGGGGUAAAGGCCUCCCAAGGCAACGAUCUGUAGCUGGUCUGAGAGGAUGAUCCGCCACACUGGGACUGGGACACGGCCCUGACUCCUACGGGAGGCAGCAGUGGGGAAUUUUGGACAACGGGGGCAACCCUGAUCCAGCGAUGCCGCGUGAGUGAAGAAGGCCUUCGGGUCGUAAAGCUCUUUAGGUUGGGAAGAAGGUUGGUAGUUUAAGAGAUAAUCAACUUGACUGUACCAGCAGAAUAAGCACCGGCAAACUCCGUGCCAGCCGCCGCAGUAAAAC
rnacentral:rRNA from 1 species